rnacentral:sRNA from 1 species
GGGUACAGUGACAUGCCUCUGUAGUCUCAGGUGCUCGGGAAACUGAGGCAGGAGGAUGGCUUGAGUCCAGGAAUUUGAGGUUGGCCUUGGCAACAUAGUAAGACCCUGUCUUUA